GGAGAGAUAGCGUAGUCUGGCCUAACGCGCGCGCCUGGAGAGCGCGUUUACCGCAAGGUAACGUGGGUUCGAAUCCCACUCUCUCCGCCA
rnacentral:tRNA from 2 species